AGGAAGGGUGGAGCUGAGCAGUGGGGAGAAACUAAAAGAUAAGAAGUCUGGAGGCGACACACGGAGCAGAGACAGGUGAAGACGCUGUGCUUGCUUCUCGGCUUUGGACUUGUACCAAGGACUUGGGGACAUGGAAGGAGACACCUGAAAGAUGCGGAGAUAAUUGCAACUGAUUCUGAGGCCAAGACGGCUCUGCCCAGUGGAGCUUCCUGGCACGAGUGGUGGGAAUGUUCCGGCGGCACUGCCCAGAGUUAGCCACCGGCCACUCAGCUAAUGGUACAAAGCUGGCUGGAGCACUGUUCUUGCCUUUGAGGAGCACUGGGCUUAAUGAAGAGCUACGCGUGCCCACAGAACAUGCGCUCUGAGUGGCAUGUGGACUGCCAUCGUGGACUCCACCCUGCUUCACUCCUCUCAGGCGACUCACCGCCUCGUCAGAGCCAGGCCCUGACCUGGUACUGGGGACACUGUGAUGAGUCACAGCCAGCCUCGGCCCUGCAGGAGCUCAACAAGGAGCGAGAGAGAACC